ACAGGAAGUACAGUAUUCGCAAGAAUACCAAUGUUUUCACAGCAGGAAAUGGGAACCUAUCCACCAGUGAAGGUAGUCAAAAAGCGGACAUGAGGCGAGCAGCGUGCCUCAAAAAGGCACAGUCUGAAUAACCAGACCUUACGGGAAUGUGAUCAUGAAGGGGAAGUAACUGGGCACGAGAAGGUGAGAAACACAAUGGUACUGAGGAAAGACGUUGGAGGAACGCUGAGAGAGCACACUGUGGUACAGAGGUCGAGACAACGUAAGAAUGUUCUUCUGCGCUGGAAAUUUGCACCAUCACCACCUGAUCAAGGCACAAUGCAUCCGCAAGACAAACUUUAUCAAACCCUAUCAUGCUAAGCAUGAAAACAGAAAGGACUGAUUUAGGAACAUUAGAUAGUAUAAUACCAGCUCUUGCUAUCUACAGAUGUUCUCAAAUUAAUGCUCCAGGAGGGUGGUGGAGGACUUUGUCUUGUGUUGUAGGAAGAACCACCUGCAGAUCAACAUCAACAGGAUAAAAGCAGUGGUGGUGGAUAUCCAGUGUGUUAAGGAGGCUCUGAGACCAGUCUUGACCAAGUGAGAGGAAGUGGAGGUGGUGUAAAGCUAUUAGUGCCUAGAGGUCCAUAUGAACAGCAUGCUAGACUGGUAUGACAACACAAUGGUGCUGUAUAAGAAAUGCCACAGUAGACUGUACUUCCUGAGGAGACUUAUGUCUUUUUAUGUGUGCAGCAGGCUGCUGGAAAUGUUUUAACUGUCUUUUGUAGCCAGCAUGUUGUUCUACAUUGUGGUCUCCUGGGGAAGCAACUUGAGUUCAAGUGAUUUAAAACUCACAUGCAAACUUGCAAGGAAAGCCAGCUACAUCUUAGGACUGACACUAGACACUCUGUAAGCUGUUGAUGAAAAGAGAAUGGUGUCAAAAUUAGAUGCCAUCAUGAACAACGCCUAGCACUGACUCCUGUGGAUCUCAAUUUUGGACUAUAUUUUGUACAAUAGUAGACUGUCGUGUAUGCCUAUGUUAGUUAUGAAUCCACCUGUACUCAGCUCCCUAAACCUGGGUCUUUUAUUGUUUGCUUAACAAAAUCCUUUGAGAAGGUUUUUAAUAGUAUAUACUGCUUUAUAUCGAAAGCAUUGGAUUGUUUGUUCAUAAAUCUCUAAAAUACUAAUGAGUAGCCAUCAUCUCACAAAACCUGUAUUGACUGUCUGCUAAAUUGCCUUUGAUGAUCUGCAGUUUCUCCAUCUUGACUUUUAUAAAUGUUUGUGAAUGUUUCAUGAAUUUAACUUUCAGUCAUACAGUAUUAGGAUAACUGACCUGUUGUUACCAGUGCAGACCUACUGUCCAUUUUCAAGUAAAGGUGGGAUGCUUGCUUGCUUCAAUCUAUAAACUUCAAUGGUACUUAAUGAUUUUGUUACUGUUUGUAUACUCUUUAACUUCUUUCAUAACUCUUGUGUAAAUCUUAGUUACUGUCAUGUAAAUUUAUCUCACCAAAUUAAGUGUUUUAAGGUUUUUUAAAGUCAUACUGUCCCUUUUUUCACAACAAUCUAAUUUUUCAGA